CAGAAGCUGGGAUGGCCCUUCAGAGUUGUCCAGAGUAGACAAUGGGUCAAAGGCACUGGAUAUGGGGCUACCCUGGGAAGGGGGCAGGAUCCCAGGUAAGGCAGUUCUCUUCAGUUAAGGAAAUCUGGAAAAGGGUUCAGCUGAGGACUAUGUUCUGGCAGAGCUCUCAGCAGUUGGAGAACGAUUUCUGCUGUCCUGAGGGGGGAUCUGGACGACACACGACAGCAUCUGCCUCAUAAUUACAUCCUUAUUCAUACCCUUCUCCCUGAAGACUGACUCAAUGAGCAAAGCAGAAAGAGGCCAUAAAACUGAUAAAGACAGCAAAAGCUCAGGGAGAUUCCCACCUCCCAAAGGGCGCCCUGGAAGGAUUGCACAUGCCUUACUAGCCAGGAGGCCUAAGCUGUGAAAUGCAGCUUCCCGCUCUGACGGAGCCUCCUAAGGUGAGAGAAUUGCACUGUGUCCUCCCCACAGAGGGAAAUGGAUAAAAUGGCUUUCUUAACUAGAAACGUCUUCAGCACAGGACUCUUUCUCAGGCACCAGUCUUCUUGGCUCCCCGUUCAAGUGCAGAGUCCCCAGGUGUCCAUCCCAAAGAGACCAUCCUUGCUUGGACUGCCCUGGGUCCAUUGUAUAUUGAGACCACCACUGGAAACACAACAUUGUAUACUGAGCCUCUGGUUUGGUGUAAUAGUUAAUCUUCACGCGGCCCUAUGGGUAGGAUAUUCUCAGAGGUUCUGGCUGUGACACACCCCUGGGUUCUGGAAUUUGUAGGAUUCCUCUGGUUCAUCUGGCUGAUGGCCAAGGUCAGACUGUAGUACCAGCAGAAUAACUGCCCUGGUCUGUGGACAUCAUCAGUACCUUUCUCUGAGUGGGCAAACCAAGGAGCCCAUCACUGGGGCUCCCAAGUGGCCAGAGGCCCUGAAGAGCUGGCUGUGGGCCUUCUGGGUAAUAGAGGUCAAAACUCCAGCACAAGGAGUUCACCAGAGGAGAGAAACUAUCAUUCUCUGAACACAAACAACAUGAUCCUGGCUCUGAGCUUUCCUCUUUAAGGAGAAUGCCUUCCUGCUGGUAAUUACGUGUCUAAAUGCUCCCAUGCUCAAGCCUACUCAACUUUCAUCUUACCCACGAGCCCAAUUCAGCUGAUAAAUACUAAUGUGUGCCUAUAAGGCAUUUUGAUUCAUGUUGACCUGUUUUGAAGCUGAGUAAAGGCCUGGGUCUAGGCUGGUUUCCAUAUUCAAGGGGAGUACAGAAAGGGCCAUAAUGGUCAUUGGUCUACCAGGAACACAACUUGAGGCAGUGGCUAGGGGACAAGAAACAAGGUAUGUGAUUCCCAACUCCUGCUAUCUGGGAAAGAACUGGUAAAGCCAAGCAACUCAAGGUGUCAGGGCCACAGCCAGGGUCUAGUGCAGGAUUGCUGCAUCAGUGGAAGGUUUGCGUGUGGGACAAGUAGCUGGGCAGGAGCUCCGUUGUAUGUAUGGAGCAUCUCUGAGGAACUAUAAGGAAGUGCAGUUAACAAAUCAACAUUCACAGCAUGAGAUCCAGGCCGCGGGUGGCAGGACUGUUGCAGUUCCCAUCAGGAGUGAGCUAGGAACAGGGCAUGGCCGGGCCUGCAAGUAGAAGCAUGGAGACCUUCAGCGACAACGGUCAACUUAGUCUCUGCUUUCAGCCUUUUUAGAUCCUAUCCUCCUUCGAGGCAUAGGUCAAGAUCACCUCCUAAAAACAAAGUUUCCUUGGUUUUUUCCAA
rnacentral:lncRNA from 1 species